rnacentral:lncRNA from 1 species
UAUAAGGGAAAAAUCUCAGUUGACUCACGUACAACGAGAGAUCAGAGUGUUGGCACUUGAUUGUUGGCAUUCUGAGAAAUAUUUUCUUUGUCGGCCUCUGGAUCGAUUCAAGGCAAGUACCGACGUAGACGGAAUUACAACUCACACAGUAAAGAAACGCGAACAAUCUGAUUACCAUCAAGUAUCUUGUCUAACGGUCUACACAACCUACCAACAACACGUGCGCUCGCAUACCAACAGAGGAAUCCAUACAUGUCUUUAAUUUUCUGCUAUUCUUUAAAUAUGUUCGGUGAGACCGACAUAAAAUCGGAUAAAUCCACUGAAGUUGAGGCUUGUUUCUCAAAAAGAAAAGAAAGUUGGCAGAGUGGUAGAGUCUGUAAAACGACAUAUGCGCACAAGCGUGAAUGUUUUUACUCAACUUUUAGAAAGACGUGAAUAAGUAUUAUUUUGUCAAAUGGACUAUUCAGUUUCAGUGUAAAGCUUAUAACUACUUGUUACGGAUGCGAUUCAUAGCCAUGUGAUGUAUUAUCCCAUAAUCCCCUAAUAUCAUGAAAAAAAAAAGAAAAAAAGGAACUGAAGUCUUUAGUAUACAAAGCGUCCGUAUAUGAUUUGUACAUGUCUGUGGAAAUUUUAUUCAACACCGUACAGCAAAUAAGUUGGUGCAUUUGCAAAGCGCAUCGUUUCCGAGGUUCUGUAUCACUUAAGAAGACUUAUACAAUUCAAUUUCCUACCCUGAAAACAGCGCAUUCAGCCUCUGAUAGAAAGCGUAUAUUGAUUUUUCUUAUAUUAAAAAGGGAUUCACGGGAUAGAAAUUUUCUAGUGGAUUUUCUUACCGGCCAUUCAUUUACUACAAUUUACUACUAUACAAAUCUGAUAUCUUCACACAUUUCAAUAAACAAGCAAGGUACAACUAACUGUUCUUCGUAUAUCUCAAAUAUCCGGCUGUACAUGCAUUGAACCUUGCGUACCGCACUGGGAAGCAUCAGCUCCAUUUCAAAACAUAGAAGAUAGCCAGCAAGAAAACAUCACAUGAUUCACGAGCUUCCACGUCUCACAAAUUGUAACAUAGCUUUCUGGGUUAAAAAGGGAUUUUUACUAACUUUAACGAAUCCUCUUAAUUUUAGCAUCUUGGAAUUUGUUACCUAUUUUGCAUUCAGUUCCACUCAAAGCACACACACACACACACACACAGACUCUUUCCAAACUACCUCUUUUUACACAACCACAUGCUUCACACCCUCAAGCACAAAAUUGUUUACUUCACUUUAAUUCAACAAUUAUCAUCGUUAAGAAAUUCAAAUCCAGAAUUUUCAGCAUCGAAGAAACAAAUUUCAGUUCGCAAAGUAAUAAAAUAUACUCUCACAUAGAGAUGCAAAUUGUCUGCACUGUAGGGAAUGCGAUUUUAUGUAAUUCACCACAACGUUGUCCAUCGUCUUCAGGAGACCAGCUGGUAGAGAUUUUGACACCAAAAGUUCGGGGUGAAUCAUGCAAUGUACAAUUUUAACUUGUGAAGGUUUGUUUUAUAAUACAUGAGCCACGAAGCCUAUUUUUUCGAUCGUGCAUGGAUGGAGCGCCAUCAGGGCGAACGCUAAUACAAGUUUUCCACUGCAUCCCUCUCAAUACAUUUUGGUUUACCAGGUUAAAGUCAUAUUUUCCUGUCGUUCUUUCCUUCAAUUCACAACGAAAGAAAAACUGAUUUAUGAUUUUACCACCUCUGAUGAUUCACAGAAAUGAAAUUAGUUGAGCUUCGUUACUGAUGUUGUAAGGCCCACAAGUUUUCGAGUUCAUUUUUUGCUUCAGUGAAAUCUUGGCGAAGCUGAUCAUCAUUGUCUCACGAAAUGUCUUGAAUUUUACGAGAAAUCAUGUGUGCAGGCAAAGGAAUGGUCUUAAUUUGUUUGAAGGUUUGUCCUUCUGCUGGGAUAAUUUGUUAUUAAAUGACACUGAAGUUUACUUGGAUCCAUCGCUUCAUUUGAGAGUGUUGUUAAAUUAUACAAAAGGGAACCGAGUUGUCUUUUAUCCGAUAAUAUAAAACCAUAUUGGAUGUAAUUUUCAUUACAUUUUCGUUUUGAUGAGGUGGACUUUCUAUUCUGGUGUUCGUCUCGUUUUUUAUGACUCUCUUUCUCAUUUUUCUGGGGUGUCAAUAAAAAUUCGUCCAUGUUUAAAUCUAAAAUUAAAAAUCGAUUGAAGUUAACGUAAAAUAAUUCAUGUAAAUUAUAAAUAAAUCAAAAAUUAAAUCUUCUUGGACUACUAUACAACUUACUUACAAUCCCGGUUUACAUGCAAAAAUGUAAUAUUUUUUCUACUCUAGGCACAGGGGCCGAAAUUUUUUGGGAGGGGCCAAUAGAUUAGAUCGACUCCAGUACGUAACUGAUACUUAAUUUAUCGAUCCCGAAAAGAUGAAAGGCAAAGUCGACCUCGGCGGAAUUUGAACUCAGAACGCAAAGAGAAGUGUAACAUAUUAUAGCAAAUGUUCUGUCCGUCGUGUAACGUCAUUUAUAUUUACCAUAUUUUACGAUUUAUAUAAAUUUAUAUUUACGCUCGAACUAUGCAAAUGUUCUUGGAUCGUUGUUUCUCGAAAAUCCCGAAAUUACUUUCCGCGGCACAGUUUGACAAACACUGGCUUAAACGAAUACAACAUUGCUAUUCGAUAGACGUAUAUCAAGUUACUCAAUUGUUACACAAUGUGCACUACAGUUUACUGAAUUGGUAUUAAAAUAUUUUUGCAUUACAUACAAACUAAAUACUUAAAACAUAAUCUCAACUAGCCAAAUGGUAGCCUCACAUUACAUCUUUCCCUCCUAGGAAAGACGAGUUGAUUAAAGAUGGAAUUUUUUGAUCACAGGAUUGCUCAGUCAAAGCUAACUUGACCAAACAAUAGUACAACUAUUGUGUGUAUGUAUCAUACACACACAGACGAAAGGAAGUGACAUUCAACGCAUUUGGAGUUACAUAUAUCUAUUUAGUAAUAGUUUGAUCCAGUUCCACGCAGUUUAGUUUCGUAGAACGAACCUAAACUGUCAGACAACAAAGCAGAUACGAGACAAAUUCAAGGUUGGCCUCUAUUGGUCAACUCAGUUCUCGAAGUUUUAUUGGUCCGUCUGGAUGUGACAUCAAUUUUUUUCUUAAGUUUUUAUAUUCGCGUAGUCGGACAGGAUGUUGGUAGGUACUCGUCACCGCUAAGUCUGGAGAUGGCAGUAUAAUUUCUUUAGUGACAUCAGUUCAUUGCAUUUGAUACUACACAUGGCAAAGCGAUAGUUGUCGCAGGUUAGUGAAAAACUAACACCUGGGAUUAACUACCUUGCUCUUGUGUACUUACAGGUUCAAGGAAAAUGCUUUUCAUUGGCGUCAGGAAACUCCUAGCUACGCUGCUUAAAACGUCUAGAUUGAAUGGCGGAUUGUACCAAAUUAUCUUUCUCUUUCUGACUCUCUUCAGGUUCGAGAGUGAAGUUGUGUCCUCCAUAUAUACUAUCUUCUCACUGAAUUCACUACUCGCUAAUGCUUCCCUAUAAUGCAGGGCAGCCCUAUUGAGGAUCUCUCUAUCCACUGAUAGUUAAGAGAUUCUUCUACUUAUGCCUAGGUUUCUAUUUAUGACUAAGAUUCUAACUAUAGCUGGUGGAUGGUUGGAGUUUCCUCGUAAGGCUUCCUGUAAGAGUAGUACUUGUCCGUUUUCAGGUCGCGGGUUACAUCCAAGAAGUCUACCCAUGUCAAGUUGGUGGUGGUUGUUUUAGAUGGACCAAAUUCUUUGAUGAUCUUUGUUAAAUCCUUCCUGAACUUGUCCUUGGUAUAGCCGUUCAUGUGGCUUGAGAUUGCGAAACUGCCGUCCCUAUAAAGGGCUGAGUUAUGGAGGUGUGUGCGUUUCUUUAGAGUAUCCCGGAGAGAAUACCCGACAAAGUCAGCGAUCUCAGACCAAGUACCCGUCAUAGCUCCCCAUAGUCAUAAGUAGAAACCUAGACAUAAGUAGAAGAAUCUCUUAACUAUCAGUGGAUAGAGAGAUCCUCAAUAGGGCUGCCCCGCGUUAUAGGGAAGCAUUAGCGAGUAGUGAAUUCAGUGCGAAGAUAGUAUAUAUGGAGGACACCGCAACUUCUCCCCCGAACUUGAAGAGAGUCAGAAAGAGAAUGAUAAUUUGGUACAAUCCGCCAUUCAAUCUAGACGUUUCAAGAAGCGUAGCUAAGAGUUUCCUGACGCCAAUGGGUCGCCUUCCUUCUUCACCCAGUAGGAAUCCUUGUGAACCAAUAUUGACUUUCAUGAUAAUUCUAAUAUCGCUGAUAUGGUUGAAUUGCCUAAAGCCUUCAGAGACAAGGAUUUCGACACUGAAAAGUAGAAAUCUAUGAUAUCGAAGUGGGUGAACCUACAGACUGCUUUAUUUUGAUACCUCUGAACCAAUCGAUUACUGCGAUGCUGCAAUCUCAUUGGAUCAGCCCCGCAGCUUUUCUAAUAGCGAACCG